UUUUUGGUUGUGCUGCUGAACUGCAGCCGACUGGACAAAAAAAGAGAGACAGGCGGCUCAUGCCGCCUGUCUCUCUUCAUCCUUCUGGA
rnacentral:sRNA from 1 species